GUCGAACGAUGAUGGUGGUGCUUGCACCACCUGAUUAGUGGCGAACGGGUGAGUAACACGUGAGUAACCUGCCCCUCACUUCGGGAUAACCUCGGGAAAUCGUGGCUAAUACCGGAUAUGAACUUCUACCGCAUGGUGGUCGUUGGAAAGAUUUAUCGGUGAGGGAUGGACUCGCGGCCUAUCAGUUUGUUGGUGAGGUAAUGGCUCACCAAGACGAUGACGGGUAGCCGGCCUGAGAGGGCGACCGGCCACACUGGGACUGAGACACGGCCCAGACUCCUACGGGAGGCAGCAGUGGGGAAUAUUGCACAAUGGGCGAAAGCCUGAUGCAGCGACGCCGCGUGGGGGAUGACGGCCUUCGGGUUGUAAACCUCUUUCAGUAGGGAAGAAGCGAAAGUGACGGUACCUGCAGAAGAAGCGCCGGCUAACUACGUGCCAGCAGCCGCGGUAAUACGUAGGGCGCAAGCGUUGUCCGGAAUUAUUGGGCGUAAAGAGCUCGUAGGUGGCUUGUCGCGUCUGCCGUGAAAACCCGAGGCUCAACCUCGGGCGUGCGGUGGGUACGGGCAGGCUAGAGUGUGGUAGGGGAGACUGGAACUCCUGGUGUAGCGGUGAAAUGCGCAGAUAUCAGGAAGAAC
rnacentral:rRNA from 1 species